rnacentral:rRNA from 1 species
GAUGAACGCUGGCGGCGUGCCUAAUACAUGCAAGUCGAGCGAACGGACGAGAAGCUUGCUUCUCUGAUGUUAGCGGCGGACGGGUGAGUAACAUGUGGAUAACCUACCUAUAAGACUGGGAUAACUUCGGGAAACCGUAGCUAAUACCGGAUAAUAUUUUGAACCGCAUGGUUCAAAAGUGAAAGACGGUCUUGCUGUCACUUAUAGAUGGAUCCGCGCUGCAUUAGCUAGUUGGUAAGGUAACGGCUUACCAAGGCAACGAUGCAUAGCCGACCUGAGAGGGUGAUCGGCCACACUGGAACUGAGACACGGUCCAGACUCCUACGGGAGGCAGCAGUAGGGAAUCUUCCGCAAUGGGCGAAGGCCUGACGGAGCAACGCCGCGUGAGUGAUGAAGGUCUUCGGAUCGUAAAACUCUGUUAUUAGGGAAGAACAUAUGUGUAAGUAACUGUGCACACCUUGACGGUACCUAAUCAGAAAGCCACGGCUAACUACGUG